rnacentral:rRNA from 1 species
UACGUAGGGUGCAAGCGUUGUCCGGAAUUAUUGGGCGUAAAGAGCUCGUAGGCGGUUUGUCGCGUCUGCUGUGAAAACUCGGGGCUUAACCCCGGGCCUGCAGUGGGUACGGGCAGACUAGAGUGCGGUAGGGGAGACUGGAAUUCCUGGUGUAGCGGUGAAAUGCGUAGAUAUCUGGAGGAACACCGGUGGCGAAGGCGGCAUCCUGGACCGGCAUUGACGCUGAGGAGCGAAAGCCAGGGGAGCAAACGGG